CCCUAAUUUGACUUAAAUUAGUGACUUUAAGUUAUCAGAGGUUAUGAAAUAUACCAUAUGUGCACAUAGGAGACAAAAAUAUUGCUUGCUAGUACCUACGUUUAUGACAUUAAUCUAUCUCUCAAUGAUCUAAUAUAAAAUAAACCAUUUGAAAGCAAUUUCAUUGAAAUACUUUCAGAAAUGUUGAAAUGAAAAUAUUAAUCUUUUGGAAGUGUCAUGUUGGAUUUUUUUUUUUUUUUUUAAAUCUCAGGAAGAUGGGUUAGGGAGUGCCGAGCAUAAAGAAACAGCCAAGAAGAUGCAAAACCAAGAGGUAAAGAUGCCAGCAGGCCUAGCUGGGUUUUCUGUGCUGGCAAGCGAGGUCUAACAUGGAAUAUCCAGAAAUCACACUGCAGUUCCACCAUUCUUGAUGUCCUCCCAGGUGAGCUGCUGGGCUUCGUGCUCGUGCUUCUAAAGCAAGCAAACUUUAAGCUAAUUACGUGCUAGUGUAGUCUCCCUUGCUGAAUUUUG
rnacentral:lncRNA from 1 species